rnacentral:ribozyme from 1 species
UAUGAAGGAGAGAUUGUGAAAAAAAGAAUUGUGAUGAAUUAUAAUGAAUGAAAUGGAAUGAAUUUGCUUGAUUUCUCUUUUCUUUUUAAUUCGUUUGUUUUUCUUUUCUUCUUCUUUCCUCUUUUUGAUUUAAUGGUUUCUUUGAGCAGUGGGAUAGAUCUAUUCGUGUAUUCGACAGUUUAGGAAAUGAAGUGGAAUCACUCGUACUAUUAUAUUUCUUUAUCAU